AGAACGAACGCUGGCGGCAUGCCUAACACAUGCAAGUCGAACGAGACCUUCGGGUCUAGUGGCGCACGGGUGCGUAGCGCGUGGGAAUCUGCCCUUGGGUUCGGAAUAACAGUUGGAAACGACUGCUAAUACCGGAUGAUGUCUUCGG
rnacentral:rRNA from 1 species